rnacentral:rRNA from 1 species
AUACGUAGGUGGCAAGCGUUGUCCGGAAUCAUUGGGCGUAAAGAGCGCGUAGGUGGCUUGUCAGGUCUGGUGUGAAAUUUCGGGGCUCAACCCCGAACCUGCAUCGGAAACCGGCUUGCUAGAGUCUGGGAGAGGAGAGUGGAAUUCCUGGUGUAGCGGUGAAAUGCGUAGAUAUCAGGAGGAACACCGGUAGCGAAGGCGGCUCUCUGGAACAGUACUGACGCUGAGGCGCGAAAGCUAGGGGAGCGAACAGGAUUAGAUACCCUGGUAGUCCUAGCCGUAAACGAUGGACACUAGGUGUCGGGGGUGUCGACUCCCCCGGUGCCGAAGCUAACGCAUUAAGUGUCCCGCCUGGGGAGUACGGCCGCAAGGCUAAA